rnacentral:rRNA from 1 species
UGCGUAGGUUGAUAGGUAAGUCAGUGGUGAAAUACUCCGACUCAAUCGGAGAACUGCCGUUGAUACUAUCUAUCUUGAAUACGGUGGAGGCGGGCGGAAUGCGUCAUGUAGUGGUGAAAUACUUAGAUAUGACGCAGAACACCCAUUGCGAAGGCAGCUCGCUACACCGGCAUUGACACUGAGGCACGAAAGCGUGGGGAUCAAACAGGAUUAGAUACCCUGGUAGUCCACGCCCUAAACGAUGUUCACUCGAUCUCGGCGAUACACAGUCGGGGUCUAUGCAAAAGCAUUAAGUGAACCACCUGGGGAGUACGAUCGCAAGAUUGAA